CAUCACCAGGGCGAAGGUAAUCGUGAACGGCCCAGCGGACGGCAAAGGCACUCUCGUCAGAAAGGUCGACGGCGACGCCGAUCUUGCGGCGGGCGCCGGCGGUGGGAGUCGGAGUAGCAGCGGUGGAAGGUGUGGAGGUGUGAUGGGGGUGGCGAGGGGAGGGUGGGUGGUGGAUCUUGAUGGUGGGGAGUUGAGGGUGGUCAGCGUCUUGGCCUGGAGGAUUCAUUUCCGGUCUGCGAGGAGGAAGAGGAAUAACUACGCUACGCGAUCUAGGGAUAAUCUCGAAAACCAAGACUGUCUGGUUUUUACCCUUUUCUUUGAUUAUCUGCGUUAAUUGAGUUGCAGAGAGGGA
rnacentral:lncRNA from 1 species